GCCUUCGUACUGCAGUGGUCAGCACGCUCGACGCGAAUUCGAGAGGUCCGUGGUUCGAUUCCCGGCGAAGGCG
rnacentral:tRNA from 1 species